rnacentral:misc_RNA from 1 species
CCACCCCAGCAGCCAUUCUUCAAUGGCGAAUUCUCAGAGACGGCCGGCGGCAUUGGAUCCCGUCUACUAUCCGGUGGUAGCAUUGGCGUUAAUCCUUGUUGCAUGUGUUGACUUCUGCGACGCCGUCACGGUCGUCGACGUUUAUCGCCUGGUUCAGUAUGAUCUCUCCGGUGUCCCUUUCGGAUCUCGGCUUGCUACUCUCAAUCACCACGCCGGCUCCUCGUUCUUCGUUUCUAGCUCAACUGUAGAUCUCUCUCGCACUGUACUCAUGCUUCCUGUUCGUGAAUUGGACCUCGAUCUCAUUAAAGAAUACAUUGGACAGGGCAAGCUAUUAGGGGGCUUACUUCUUUUACUGCCGCCUCAAUUUAGUCCAGAAAAAGUAGAGACUGCAGUUGGUCGUGAUGAAAAUUUUGACCUUCUGAGAAAUAAAGUGUCUGAGCUGGAACGGUUGCUUAUUCAUGCUAACAUUCCUUAUCCUGUGUAUUUUGCUUUU